rnacentral:lncRNA from 1 species
GCCGCAGCAUUCCCUAUUCAUGGCAAGCACGUGGCAGCUUUCGAAUAGCACAGGCAGCUGUGUUUGAAGAAGUGCUCCCUAAUUACCCUCCCGCUUGAUGAGCGUGACAGCCCAUUGUGCUGGCCCCAGCUGUAUGGCUGCCGCUCUCCCCAUGUCCCCUGCAAGCCAAACUGGGCACUGGGACACGCUCCUCCGGCAGCCCCUUCCACCCCCAAAGGGCACUGCCCCACGUGUGGGCUGAUGGAUGCAUGGGCAGGAACAUGCCCCUCUAAAAAGGGCUAAAAACUGCUAGGGGUGUCACUGAUCAAUAAUUUUGCUUUUUUUUUUUGCAGGUAUAAUUGUCUAGACUGGGAGGGGUGAACACGGAUGUUUGCACGGAGGCUUUUUUGGAUGAGGAAAUCUGGAGUUUUCACACCAAAGCUGAAGUUCAUCGUUUCCACGGGAGUCAUCCUGGAGUCCUGCCUCACCUGCAGAACCUGAGUGCGGCAUUGCUUUUUCCCAGGAAGCCACCAACCACACAGCUUGGGAUAGCUGGCUCGUGCUGUAAACUCUUCUGACAGCCUGGGCCCUCAGAGGCUCUGCUCAGCAGGAGGAGCGAAGGACUGCAAGGACAGGAGCCGUGAUUGUGGGCAUGAGGUGAAGCAGAAAAAAGCAAAGUGAAGUGUCUCAAAUGCUGGAGAGAGGACUGUUGCUGGAGCUGAAGCUGUGGGAUGACAGGCAUAGAUUUCACAGAACAUGUGUUCUGAAAACCUGUAGCGGUGUCACCUUCAAGCUGUCAUUUCAGGGGGAUAUUGCAAGCGAGGUACAGCCAGCCCAGCUUAUGAUUUGCAUGGGAGACAUCCGAGACACUACAGGUAAUUCAGAUGAUGUUAUGUCCUCCCUAGAGGCAAGGCUGACUCCAGGCCCAGCAAAGUGCCAGCCAGCACACUGCACAUGUCUGCAGGUGAAGCCAAGCAACAUCAUGGGUGGUGCACAGCCAUGGAAAGCUCUAGGAAGCAUUUGCUUGGAGCUGCAUUUAUAAAUACAGCCAAGUUGUGCUAGUGACAUCCCUGAAUAUGUGCAAUUUGUGAUGUAGGUGUGAGCUUGAGCAUGUUGGGUCCCUGGAGCUGCCUGUUCUUGGCGCUGUCUGUGGCUGCCCUGUGCUGAGAGCAACAAGCAUCAGUUGAAUCAGCUCUCCCACCCUCCCAUACUGCUCUCUCCUUACACUCCUUACCCCUGCCUUGAUGGGAUGGCCCCACCGCUUUAUCCAGCCCUUGGGAUGCUGACUCCAGCAGCAUUUCCCAGCCCGGACCCAAGGGGUUAAGGUGGGAUGUUAACUUCAAAGCUGGGCGCGAAUGGGAUGUGAGCAGCGCGGGUCACGGAUGUCCUCGCGGGCAGCUCCCUUCUCUCCAUGCUGCCAAGAGCAGAUGUGGCGUAAAAGCUUCCUCUCAGAGAGGGCAUGAUUAAUCUCUGCUUCUUAGAGGAUGACAAAUAUAUUAUAUUCGCCGACAUGCACACGCAUUCUCUUCGCCUGACAGGUGACCCCUGUCUUAAUGCCAAGCGCGCGAGGUCCAGCUCUGUAAACGAAGAGGAGAGCUUUGCAAGCUCAUUAAUGCUUUGAAGUCGCUCAUUAGAAGCAGAUUCCUCUGGAGCUGGCGAGCGCAACACCCUUUGUGAGCACGGCUUCGUUUGAUACUAAUGCGGGUGCUGCAGCUGGAGGCAUCCGGGGAUGCUGGGCUGGGAUCCUGCACACGCGGACCCGCACAGCGUGUUGCUGUGGCUGUGAUGGGAAGAGCAGAGGGAAGCAGGGAAAGCUGCUGUCCCCUUCUGGCACCCAAAGGGGUGAAUUUCCUCCUGGCAAGGAUUUUGCUUGUGGAUGGAUUAACCCUUUCCUCUGCUGAGCUGAGGACCUGCAGCACCCUGCAGUGGGGUGCCUGGGUCUCUUUGCCUUGCUCCCCAGCAAGAUGAUACAGAUUGCAUCAUCCUUGGAGGCCAAGGUGUCCCCUCAAUGUUACCAUCUUUUCAGAACUGAAAACACUCCUUUUUCUGGUCAGUGACUCUCACCCCUGCACCCACUGGCUGCAAGCCCUCUGAUUAGCUCAGGCACCCCCAAACAUUUUUGUGAGCAGCCCCUGGGGAAGCGAGGAGGGAAUUGCUCAGCUCCAAGUAGGGCAGACACAACAAGCACCAUCCCCUUCACCUACAGAUACACCCCCUUCUGGUUGUGGAACAUGUCCCCAAAUGUUUUAGCUUACUGGAGCCAAAAAAAGGCUUCCCACAAACUGUCGGACCAGCCUGGGUCUGCAUCUUCCCAGCCCUUCCCAUGGAGGAGGAGGCUCCAGCAUGUCCUCAGCAGAGAGUGGCUGAAACAGACAGAAAGCACCAGGCUCCUGUGGCUUAAGGGCUAAAGACUUAGUGAAAGCAGCCUUGUUUUGAGGCUGUGGGUUUGAAUCCCAUGUGACUCAACAAAAAUGUUUUUUGUUGCUGUUGUUGCUUUUGUUUGUUUUUCCUACAGGGCAAAGCAAAAGCACAAAAGGUACACCUCACCCCAAAGAGAAAAGGAGGACACCCAUGCCCCACAGUUUGUCCUGGCUAAACACUCCACUUGAGCCCCCAGUGCAGCCCAGAGGGGGUGAGGAGCAGGACCCGAGGAGGAAGAGUGAUGCUUUAACCAUUCAGCUGGUCUGGCUGAGCACUGGCAGGCUGGCAGAGCUGCUCCUGUACCCCCCAAACACCCCGUGGAGUCAGGCUGACACCCCCCAGAGAUGUCCCUCAUGCCUGGAGGUGUUAUCACUGUUGUCUGUGGUCCUUUUCUGAGGUCCUGGCAUGGCACGUGGGUGUUGUGCCACUCCCCAUGGCCCUGAGAGCUGGCACUUCCCAGUGAGGUGUUUGGUUGGGGUGUGCCAGCUGGACUGAGCAGAGAUUUGCUUCUUGAUGAUGGGUGCCAGGACAUGGGAGCAAAACUGUGAUGUUAUGGAAAGCUCAUGGGGUAGGAAAGCAUUUCUUGUGGGGUACAAGGAGAGGGAGCAAGGAGGCUUUCUCACUGUGCCUCACCAGAGGCCAGCUCACCAGAGAACUUCAAUAAAGCAGUGAAGAGGGGAAGAUGUUUUGGGCUC